AGGACGAACGCUGGCGGCGUGCUUAACACAUGCAAGUCGAGCGGAAAGGCCCUUCGGGGUACUCGAGCGGCGAACGGGUGAGUAACACGUGAGUAAUCUGCCCCUAGCUCUGGGGAUAGCUCCGGGAAACCGGGAUUAAUACCAGAUACGACCACUUUAGACAUCUGUUGUGGUGGAAAGAAUUUUGGCUAGGGAUGAGCUCGCGGCCUAUCAGCUUGUUGGUGAGGUACGGCUCACCAAGGCGACGACGGGUA
rnacentral:rRNA from 1 species